UCAGCAGCCGCGGUAAGACAGAGGGUGCAAACGUUGUUCGGAAUUACUGGGCGUAAAGCGCGUGUAGGCGGCUUUGCAGGUCGGAUGUGAAAUCCCAGGGCUCAACCCUGGAAGUGCAUUCGAAACCGCAUCGCUAGAGUUCUGGAGAGGAAGGUGGAAUGCUUGGUGUAGAGGUGAAAUUCGUAGAUAUCAAGCGGAACACCGGUGGCGAAGGCGGCCUUCUGGACAGAAACUGACGCUGAGACGCGAAAGCGUGGGGAGCAAACAGGAUUAGAUACCCUGGUAGUCCACGCCGUAAACGAUGAGUGCUAGAUGUCAGGAGCUUUGACCCUCUUGGCGUCGUAGCUAACGCGAUAAGCACUCCGCCUGGGGAGUACGGCCGCAAGGCUAAAACUUAAAGGAAUUGGCGGGGGAC
rnacentral:rRNA from 1 species